rnacentral:rRNA from 1 species
GUAGGUGGCAAGCGUUGUCCGGAAUUAUUGGGGCGUAAAGCGCGCGCAGGUGGUUUCUUAAGGUCUGAUGUGAAAGCCCACGGGCUCAACCGUGGAGGGUCAUUGGAAACUGGGGAACUUGAGUGCAGAAGAGGAAAGUGGAAUUCCAAGUGUAGCGGUGAAAUGCGUAGAGAUUUGGAGGAACACCAGUGGCGAAGGCGACUUUCUGGUCUGUAACUGACACUGAGGCGCGAAAGCGUGGGGAGCAAACAGGAUUAGAUACCCUGGUAGUCCACGCCGUAAACGAUGAGUGCUAAGUGUUAGAGGGUUUCCGCCCUUUAGUGCUGCAGCUAACGCAUUAAGCACUCCGCCUGGGGAGUACGGUCGCAAAGACUG